ACAGGAGAUGAAGAGAUUUACUCAAAGCAGGAUGGCAGAUUGUUUUCAAACUGGGAGUGGCAGCAGGCUGGGUUGGGGAGCGUCAAAGAAACCAGACAAGGAUCUAUAAGGCCUAAAAGCAACAUGGAGGCCUCCACGGGUCAGCUGAGACAGGUCAGGACCCCGGACUGUGGUCUGAGGAGCUCACCAAUCAACUUUCACUGCUGAGAAACACCCUUCGGACUCGGYGUUACGUGCAGGGGAGCCCAGCCGGGAUCCAUUUGCUGUUUGGACAGGACUUUUGCAAGAGUUCAAACUGUUUUUAUUGCUCAUUUUGUAAGAUUUGGAAAAAUUGGCAUCAUUAAAAGGGAUGUUAAAGAAGAGAGGUUUGUGUUUGGAGUCAUGCAACCAUUAAAACUGAUUAUUUUGGGCCAUUUAAGUUUAUCAUGUGCUUUGAUUUUGAGACAAAUAAGACUGGCAUAAGCUUUCUAAGAGCCUCCACUCUCAACAAACUAUCCCAAGUUAAGUUUGUUAGAAAUAUAAUCUGAUUAAAAUGAACUUUUUCAAUGUGUACAUAAAAARAAGGUACCAAGUCCUCCCAAAAAUCAAGAGUCAAAUGCAUAAAAACUCAAAACACAGCUUAACUUUUCCAAAAAAUAUGGGGUUUAUUGACUUAACUGCAAUCAAUACUUACAAAAAAAGAAAGAAAACAGUUUUCAUAUAAACUCACAGAAAUUACUGUAGUGAAAACACAUGGCUAAAGAGAGAAAGAGAGAGAGAGAGAAAAAAAUACAUUCAAUAGCUUUGCUGUACUUUCUUUGUGUCAGAAUCUGUUCACCUCUUUCCAAACACUYGAAGGCAACACAGAGCAAGUGACUUAAAAAAUGUCCUCCAUUAUCAAAUAUAUAAAAAAAAGGCCAAGAAGGCGUAAAUAGCUACCUGGAAUGUAUUCAACGAGGCACUUCUGCUGGUCAGGAGGGGGCCAAGCAAGUGCAUCAAGCAUCCAAUCAGACAAAUAAUAAUAAUAAUAAUAAUAAUAAAAGAAAAUGUACUUUCCUCAACCCAUUUGGUCACAGCUAUUGCUUGUAAUAACAGACUGGAUGCAAAAACAGAAACAUUUCAACAUAACCGGUCUUCCAACUCAGAAUCUCCUAAAAAAAUGUGAUGCAAGGUGAUAUUUUUUCUUUUUGGGUAUCCUUUUCCAUCAACUACCAUCCACCCAACAAGGACACGUCUCUUCAAAUCGGGGAAAUGUUCUCAAAAAAAAUAAAAUAAGAUACUGAAUURAUGUAACAACAGUUAGCAACUGUUCCUGUCAGAUUACUGUAAAAUAUGGAGGGAAACAUCAAGAAUGAACACAAGCAUUUCAGGUGGAAUUGCAGUCCAAUGAGAGGGAGUAAGAACAAAAAGUAUAAUAAAUAAUCAAAAACACAAAAUGUAUUUUUUUUGCAUUUUUUUUUGCUUUAAAUUAGUUUCAUUUUUUUGACAAAGUGUAGUUGCAGAACAAAAAGUCAUUGAAGUACAAUAUAUUAAACUGUGAAAAAAAAAGAAAAAAAAAAGGAAAACUGACAAAAAAAGUCUUCACAAUCUUUAGAUUAAUACGGAAGAUCAUAAUUUAACAUAAAAGAAAAUAUAUUCUAUUGUUCAUUAUCCAGAUAAAUACAAAAAACAAAAUUAACAAAAAAAUGCAUAUGAUCACCAAUAAAUAUGUUCUGAUAAGUUAAAUAAGCAGUGACACGCAAACCUUCUGUCUGGAAAGUUUUUUUUUCUCAAAUAAUAAACCGUAAUAAUAACAACAUUAAUAAAAAAUAAUUAUCAAAUAAUGAAAGCAACAGGGAUGUAAUGAGUACAGAGUGCUACUCUGAGCAGGCUGUAAAGUGGGAGGAGGAGGAGGGGGAUAAAGUAAAAUAGCUUGGAGAUCCGAUCUUAAAGUCGUAGGAUGUACAACUGCACCAUGGGAACGCUGGAAAUCCCCAGAUCGGUAAAGAUGAGAAGGUGGGAGCAGGACAAAGUCGUACAGGUUUAAUGAUCAGUUUGAUAUCAAGACUUCCUUCCCAAAUUAAAAAUAAUAAUAAUAAUAAUAAUAAAACAAAGCCAGUGACCAGCAACAGGAGAAGAGAAUUUCGAAGGAGGGGUCAGAGGGAGGGGGCAUAACAAACUUCCAGUUCAAAGUCCUUCCUGCAGACUCACCCAGUUCAGUUACAUAAGAUGGGCUUUUAAGAGAACUGGCAGUGUGGUCGAAGCAGAUAAGAACAACAAAAAAAUAAUAAUAAUAAU